GUGAGUGUGUAGUGAGACAAGUGCUGCAUGUGAGUGAAGAACGGACCGAGAGAGAAGCAGCAGUUUACAUGUUCUUUUGGUGUUGAUUACGGCCUACAGUAACCUGUGUACGUUCAUAGAUAAAUCUGUAAAUAAGGAGAGCUGAAGUCUUGCGUUGUAUCUUCUGCCCACAUGUUGAGCCGCACGGAGAAGCUCUAUCGCCGUCUAUGAAAACCUCAAGAUAUGACGGAAAAGCUAACUAGUAAGCAUCCAAUGCCGAGGCUGGAAAGUGGUAAACAAAGGGAAAAGCCCUCCAGUCAUCCAGACUGAGUUAGCCCAGGACUAUUUCCUACAGGCCCUGUAAGCUGACCGGCGUGCCCAGACAUUACCGCUCCAGCCAGGCGGUCUUGUGACUCACACCAUUACAACACAGACAACAGAGACUGUGACCGACAUGCCUGUGUGCUACAGCCCCCCAGCCCCUGCUGCACAGCCUCCUCGGCCUGUCCUCCUACUACAGGAAGUUUGUGAAAGGAUUAUACUGCAUAGCUGUGCCCCUGCUCUACCUGCUAGAAAAGAGGGAGACGUCCUCAUGGACAGAUAAGUAUGCCAGCAACGUCGGCUAAGGUGCUGUUUUGACCCAGGUGACACCUGAGGGAGAAAGAGUGGUGGCGUACUAAAGCAGGACAUUCAACAAGGCUGAACGUUGCUAAUGUGUCACCAGGCGGGAACUGCUCGCUGUGGUCAGCGCCAUCCGGCACUUCAAAUAUUACUUUUGGGGCCUCCACUUCACGGUCCUGACCGAUCACUCCGCCUCACAGUGGUUAAUGUCCUUCAGGUAGCUUGAAGGCCUACUGGCACAUAUGAUUUCACAGUUGUCCAUAGAAUAGGUGCACAGCAUGGCAACGCAGAUGCACUCUUGUUUAUCUUGUGGUCCAGUCAGUAGUUUAAAGGUUUCAGUUUGUGGCAAUAGAGGAUGCCACUGGGGUCUCCCAAACACAGCCAGAGAUGAACAGGUUUCUUGUCAUCAGUUUGUUUUCCUCAGGGACUCUGAGCAGAAACAAUUUGCUAGAAAAAUAGCUAAUCUACACAGUCUUUCAUGCGUGGCAGGGGAUAAGCAUCUGGUUUUGUUGUACCAUUUACCUUCCCGUAGUCAGGACAGGGACUGAGGACUAUAAUCAGCUUUAUCCACAAGCAAGCACGGAGAUGCCCAACUUUAUUUAUUUUUCCUUUACCUUAAGUUUUGCCUGAGAUACCCUGUAAAACCAAGUCAAUGUCAUGUUCAAACAAGUGUGUAUGAAUUGGAACAUCAUUAAACAAACACAAGUAAUUGUUUGACGAACGCAGACAGCUCAGCGCACCAUUCACCAUUCAGGCUCUCAUUAGGUGAAACCACACCAUCUUCUUCAUGUACAGACCUACAGCAGCUAGUGAGUGUCUUCAAACAGUGUCUGUCACUAACACAGGUUUCACAGUCUGCUCUGGCACUCUCCCCAGUUUCAUAAGAUGGUGACUCACGAGAAUCAAAAAUGGCUUUAACAAAUUCAUCCAUAAUAACUCCCCAAACCCCCAAGUGUCCCUACUGAUCAUGCAAGGUCCUCAGUACCUCUUCGCAAAACUUUGAAGGAAGAACAACCUGAAAAAAUGGAUAACCGACACAGUUAACGCCACAAGGAACCCAUUUCCUCACUAACAACUAAUCCUGACACAGAUAACCCAUAGCAGCACUCUUCCCAUCAGCCUCUGGUAUCACUUUUUUCAAACAGCUCACUAAGUGAAGGAUCAGCUUGCUUCUCAGCUGCCAGGACACUGCAAGGGACUGUUAAAAGAUAGUCAGGCAUGGAAACAGAGGGGCUCCCAGUCCCCUCUGUGGUGCUCUGCUCAACUUCAGGUUCUGCCUUCUCAUGGUAUAUAGCUCUUUAACUGCACAGGCUGUAAACACGUCUAGGAAGCACUGCACACUCUCAUCAGGCACUGUAGUGACAGAAAGAGAGGAUGUCAUUACAGGAGAUGGUGGACAGCUAGCCCACACACGGCUACCUCACAGAUCAUUCCCCAGAAUGAUAUCCACCCCUGGGAUUGGCAGUAAGGGUGCACCCCCAUACCUCACCCUGUACCAAGCCACAACCAAGCUCUAACUUAUGCACUGGAAGACGCAACACCGUCAAACCAAUUUCCAGCAUCGGAAUGUACUGUCAUGUGUUAGUACGCUGCUGCAAAAGCAGUUCUUUAGCCUGUUCAAAUGUUAACGCAGCCUAAGACUCUGGAGAAACAGCAGCAGGGAAUUUAGCGUCAAAGACACCAAUUCCCAACAGAUUAUCACAACAUCCUCACAGCGCUCUAAUAACUCCUGAUGGAGCACUCAGAAAUUAAUCCACAGUAGCCUGGACUGAAAGACACAGCUAACGUGCCUGAAUAUUGAUAAUCAAACCCUGUGCACACUGGCACAUCCUGACACAGCUGUUAUGGGAAUGCAUAAAACAAAAAUACCAGUUCAGAUAUUUGGCAAUAAAAACACUCACUGAUUUUAUAAGGACCUGUAUUACUUUAAUAUGAAUAUGUGUCUCUUAGCCUAACUAUAAAUUUAGAAAAGUCACUAACUGAUCUGGCAUAGAGAGAUCAUUUAAAGUAAAUUUUGACUUUUAUUAAAUAUUGUGGUGUAUAGUGGUGACAAUUUCACACAAAUUACCUACUACAGAAUCAUAUUAAAUGUACAGUUAUGUGUUUAGAACUAUAAGUGUGGUCUGAGAAUUAUUGUCUGUCCCCUAAGAUUCAUGCAGUUACACAACUUUGUCUUACAGUGAAAAGCACAGUUAACACAAUGUCAAACAGUGACAGUGUUGAAAUGUUCAAUACAUGCUUGUAUAACUACA